rnacentral:rRNA from 1 species
GUUAGAGCUUCGGUUUUAACUUUAGUGGCGAACGGGUGAGUAACGCGUGAGGAACCUGCCUUUCAGUGGGGGACAACAGUUGGAAACGACUGCUAAUACCGCAUGAUGCUUUUGGGAGACAUCUCCCGGAAGCCAAAGCUUUAUGUGCUGAAAGAUGGCCUCGCGUCUGAUUAGCUAGUUGGUGAGGUAACGGCUCACCAAGGCGACGAUCAGUAGCCGGUCUGAGAGGAUGAACGGCCACAUUGGGACUGAGAUACGGCCCAGACUCCUACGGGAGGCAGCAGUGGGGAAUAUUGGGCAAUGGGGGAAACCCUGACCCAGCAACGCCGCGUGAAGGAAGAAGGCCUUCGGGUUGUAAACUUCUUUUACCAGGGACGAAGGACGUGACGGUACCUGGAGAAAAAGCAACGGCUAACUACGUGCCAGCAGCCGCGGUAAUACGUAGGUUGCAAGCGUUAUCCGGAUUUAUUGGGUGUAAAGGGUGCGUAGACGGGAAGUCAAGUUAGUUGUGAAAUCCCUCGGCUUAACUGAGGAACUGCAACUAAA